UUUCCGUAGGUGAACCUGCGGAAGGAUCAUUAACACGAAUUAUUUAUUAUCCAAUAUCAAAAACCAAACGUGAACUUUUUCCCUCCCUAUCUAUAGCACUUAAUAGAUAUAUAUAUAUAUUUUGCUAUAUGUAGGCUAACCUCAUAUAAUUAAUUUUUAACACUUUAAACUUCAACUAGUUUUAAUGUUGCCAUUAAAACAUCUAAACUAAAAAAGACAAGGUUAUUCGAAAGAGUAAACUUUAACUUUUUUCGAUUUACGAAAAAUUUAAAAAGAACAACUCUUAACAAUGGAUAUCUUGGUUCUC
rnacentral:misc_RNA from 1 species